AGCUCAGACGUGUGUGUGGUUGGAGACCCCUGGUAUACAGGAAGUAUUCAGCUCAGACGUGUGUGUGGUUGGAGACCCCUGGUAUACAGGAAGUAUGCAGCUCAGACGUGUGUGUGUGGUUGGAGACCCCUGGUAUACAGGAAGUAUGCAGCUCAGACGUGUGUGUGGUUGGAGACCCCUGGUAUACAGGAAGUAUGCAGCUCAGACGUGUGUGUGGUUGGAGACCCCUGGUAUACAGGAAGUAUUCAGCUCAGACGUGUGUGUGUGUGGUUGGUACCCCUGGUAUACAGGAAGUAUGCAGCUCAGACGUGCGUGUGUGUGGUUGGAGACCCCUGGUAUACAGGAAGUAUGCAGCUCAGACG
ensembl:lncRNA